CACGAAGUUGGAUUCGCUAGUAAUCGCGCAUCAGCCAUGGCGCGGUGAAUACGUUCCCGGGCCUUGUACACACCGCCCGUCAAGCCAUGGGAGCCGGGGGCGCCUGAAGUCCGGGACCGCGAGGACCGGCCUAAGGCGAAACUGGUGACUGGGGCUAAGUCGUAACAAGGUAUC
rnacentral:rRNA from 1 species